rnacentral:rRNA from 1 species
UACAGAGGUCUCAAGCGUUGUUCGGAUUCAUUGGGCGUAAAGGGAGCGUAGGUGGCGAGGUUAGUCAGGUGUGAAAUCUCGGGGCUCAACCCCGAAACUGCACUUGAUACUGCCUUGCUAGGGUACUGGAGAGGAGAUUGGAAUUUACGGUGUAGCAGUGAAAUGCGUAGAUAUCGUAAGGAAGACCGGUGGCGAAGGCGAAUCUCUGGACAGUUACUGACACUGAGGCUCAAAGGCCAGGGGAGCAAACGGG